rnacentral:tRNA from 2 species
GCUUCGUUAGCGUAGUUGGAUUAUCGCAUCCGUCUAAUAGGAGAUGCCUCAGAAUCACUUCUCUGAGAUUGUUACAACGGAAGGUCACUGGUUCGAGCCCAGUACGGAGCA